GACGAACGCUGGCGGCGUGCUUAACACAUGCAAGUCGAACGACGUGGCGAACGGGUGAGUAACGCGUAAUCAACCUGCCCUUCAGAGGGGGACAACAGUUGGAAACGACUGCUAAUACCGCAUACAGCAGGAGGGGAUUGCGUCUGAGUGGCUAGUUGGAGGGGUAACGGCCCACCAAUGCGAUGAUCAGUAGCCUGUCUGAGAGGAUGAACGGCCACAUUGUGACUGGAGCACGGCCCAGACUCCUACGGGAGGCAGCAGUGGGGAAUCUUCCGAAAUGGACGAAAGUCUGACGGAGCAACGCCGCGUGAGUGAUGACGGCCUUCGGGUUGUAAAGCUCUGUUAAUCGGGACGCGGUACCGGAAUAGAAAGCCACGGCUAACUACGUGCCAGCAGCCGCGGUAAUUC
rnacentral:rRNA from 1 species